rnacentral:misc_RNA from 1 species
UGUGUGUGUGUUUUUGUGUGUGUGUGCAUGCGUGCACACAUAUUACUUCAUACCAUGUGAAUAUUUUGACCAAUAAACAAUUGAGAUCAAAGGUAAAUCCUUUGGCUCUCAUAGUUUGGACAAAACUUCCCUAAAGCUAAGGGACAUGAUCAGCGAUUGUGCUAAAUCAAGUGCAAUUUGUCAAAUAUGAAACCAAAAACACAAAGAGACUUCAUCAAUACAUGUGAGAGUGCAAGACAACAGAUACUAGUAUGAUACCCAAACAGUGCAUAGAGGGGCUAAAGUAUCUAGUCUUGACAUUAUCAUUGUGGGAGUUGUGUGUGGCGAUGUCUUAUAUUUGUUUAUUGAUGAUAAGAUGCUGACGUUCCUACUACAAAGUCAUAUAUUCUCAUAAUUUGCAGUUUAUGGUUCUUCUGGUCUUGCGCCACACUCUUCCAAUCAUUAUUAGUGGAGCUGGAGAUUACUCAACGACAAUGUUCAUGUUACUGAUAUUGAGGACCAUCGGGAUUCUUUUGCCCAUUUAUGUCAUGGUUAAGGCAUUCACUGCUAUCCAGCAUCG